rnacentral:misc_RNA from 1 species
AAGUCGUAACAAGGUUUCCGUAGGUGAACCUGCGGAAGGAUCAUUUCCAAAAAACAUUUUUUUGCUCUCUCCUCUUUCUUCCUUUUUGAUUGAGCACCACAUGUAUGCUCAAACGAGGAGAGAAAAGGAGGAGGAAGGGAGCAAAAAAAAAAAAUUUCAUACAAACACCACCAGCAAUGGUCUGGCAUUCUACCUCAUAUACAUUCUAACAAUUGACAAAAACAAACACACACAACUUUUAACAACGGAUCUCUUGGCUCUC